rnacentral:misc_RNA from 1 species
UCCGGUUUGUUUCCGGCAGUCUCUCUAGAUCUCUAACUAGAAAUAAGGGUUGCGCUCGUUGAGGGACUUAACCCAACAUCUCACGACACGAGCUGACGACAGCCAUGCAACAUCUGUGCACCCGUCCGAAGAGGCGUCCUUUUCGGGACGUUGCGAGUGCAUGUCAAACCCAGGUAAGGUUCUUCGCGUUGCAUCGAAUUAAACCACACGCUCCGCUGCUUGUGCGGGGACCCGUCAAUUCCUUUGAGUUUUAGUCUUGCGACCGUACUCCCCAGGCGGGCCACUUAAUGCGUUAGCUUCGGCACGGAAGGGGUCAACACCCCCCACACCUAGUGGCCAUCGUUUACUGCUAGGACUAC